GGAAAAGCAGCCAUUCAACACUAUAUGGGAUCCUUUGGCUCUUUCUAUCUUUAUUUGAAGCCAGCACAUCCCCCACAGACGUCUCUCUCCCACUAUGCCCUGACCCUGGAUCUAUGUGUGGAAUUCUCUCUUCAUUUAUCUGUGUGGGCCUCGUCCUCUCCCAUAUCCUUUUAUUUUUUCACAAUCCUGAUCCUGGAGAUGUAAAUGAAAGGGACUGAAUGGAUGGAUGAAUUCCUGGUUUGGAAGUGAAAGUGGACCAGCA